rnacentral:rRNA from 1 species
AGAGUUUGAUCCUGGCUCAGGAUGAACGCUAGCUACAGGCUUAACACAUGCAAGUCGAGGGGCAGCAUGGUCUUAGCUUGCUAAGGCCGAUGGCGACCGGCGCACGGGUGAGUAACACGUAUCCAACCUGCCGUCUACUCUUGGACAGCCUUCUGAAAGGAAGAUUAAUACAAGAUGGCAUCAUGAGUUCACAUGUUCACAUGAUUAAAGGUAUUCCGGUAGACGAUGGGGAUGCGUUCCAUUAGAUAGUAGGCGGGGUAACGGCCCACCUAGUCUUCGAUGGAUAGGGGUUCUGAGAGGAAGGUCCCCCACAUUGGAACUGAGACACGGUCCAAACUCCUACGGGAGGCAGCAGUGAGGAAUAUUGGUCAAUGGACGAGAGUCUGAACCAGCCAAGUAGCGUGAAGGAUGACUGCCCUAUGGGUUGUAAACUUCUUUUAUAAAGGAAUAAAGUCGGGUAUGUAUACCCGUUUGCAUGUACUUUAUGAAUAAGGAUCGGCUAACUCCGUGCCAGCAGCCGCGGUAAUACGGAGGAUCCGAGCGUUAUCCGGAUUUAUUGGGUUUAAAGGGAGCGUAGGCGGACGCUUAAGUCAGUUGUGAAAGUUUGCGGCUCAACCGUAAAAUUGCAGUUGAUACUGGAUAUCUUGAGUGCAGUUGAGGCAGGCGGAAUUCGUGGUGUAGCGGUGAAAUGCUUAGAUAUCACGAAGAACUCCGAUUGCGAAGGCAGCCUGCUGGACUGUAACUGACGCUGAUGCUCGAAAGUGUGGGUAUCAAACAGGAUUAGAUACCCUGGUAGUCCACACAGUAAACGAUGAAUACUCGCUGUUUGCGAUAUACAGUAAGCGGCCAAGCGAAAGCGUUAAGUAUUCCACCUGGGGAGUACGCCGGCAACGGUGAAACUCAAAGGAAUUGACGGGGGCCCGCACAAGCGGAGGAACAUGUGGUUUAA